UCUUGAUAAAACAUAAGAGGUCCAGCCUGCCCAGUGACAAAGUUUAACGGCCGCGGUACCCUAACCGUGCGAAGGUAGCAUAAUCACUUGUUCUUUAAAUGAGGACUCGUAUCAACGGCACUACGAGGGCUAUACUGUCUCCUUUUUCCAAUCAGUGAAACUGAUCUCCCCGUGAAGAAGCGGGGAUGAAAAUAUAAGACGAGAAGACCCCAUGGAGCUUUAAACUCACCAUGCACCUCUAUGCCCUUAUAUCACUAAACAUAAGACACCUGCAUGAUAGUUUUAGGUUGGGGGGACCACGGAGUAUAAUAUAACCUCCACAACAAAUGGGCUAACACCCUUAUCCACGAGACACAACUCUAAGAAUUAUUAAACUAAUGCUUAUGACCCGAUAAUCGAUCAAUGAACCAAGUUACCCUGGGGAUAACAGCGCAAUCUACUUCAAGAGCCCAUAUCGACAAGUAGGUUUACGACCUCGAUGUUGGAUCAGGGUAUCCCAGUGGUGCAGCCGCUACUAAUGGUUCGUUUGUUCAACGA
rnacentral:rRNA from 1 species